UUUAUACUCCCUCCGUUCUGAAUUACUUGUCUUAGAUUUGUCUAGAUACAGAAGUAUCUAGCACUAAAAUAAGUCUAGAUACAUUCGUAUCUAGACAAAUCCAAGACAAGUAAUUCGAAACGGAGGGAGUAUAUU
rnacentral:pre_miRNA from 1 species